AACACUUUGAUAUUAGAUAAAAUUUGGUUGUAAAUUUAAUUUGAUAUAAUUUUUUUUUUUUUAAAAAAAACCCUCAUAGUCUCACAACUCUCUUCCUCCCUCGUAUUUCUCGGUUUCUCCAUCAAGCUUGAUGGAACUUCUCCGUCUCGGUGCUCCACCGCUACCCCCUUCUCGCUCCCAGUGCGAUAGUGUAGCCCCCACCCACCGCAGCCUACCCCCAUCGCAACCCGUGCUCCUAACCCAAAGACGUAUGAAACACUCUGUGCACCUAGUUGAAGAGACAGCGAUGAUUGCCACCUCCAAAGACACGAUUGGCACCUCCUGGCUUCCAUCUUCGGUGGCUUCCACCUUAAAGUUUGGGUUAGGGAUGCAGUUGUAUACAUGCGAGCACCAGAGGAUACGCUAAGCAAGUACGAAUUGGCCCUGCGAUCACCUUACUUUUGUAGCUACUCUUAAAAAGUAAUGUUAUACUUGACUGAUGAUAAUUUAGGUAGAUUGUUGUUCUAACCUGACAGUUAGGAUAAUAAAUUUAUAGGGCAUCUACAAGAAAUCAAAGAAGAGAUGGGUUAACUAUGCCAGGUUUGUCAAUAAUUAGCCUCCAAAAUUUUCUUGUAAUUGGUGCUUGGAUCAAUUAAUUUUACUGAUUAUGAUAACCACAUAUAAUAAAAACAUUAUAAGAGUAUCAGGCAUACAAGCUGAAGCAUGGGGGACGUCGAUUUGAGAAUUACUUUUUAGGGCACCGUGUCACUCAUAUAAUUUGCAGUAAGCUAACUCAUUGUAUUUUUUUCACUUUUCCUUUGUAUUAUUUGUAGAAUACCUUAAAUUAUAUUGAAUGUGGUUUAUUUCAUUGUAUGUUUUGCUAUAGAUAUUUCAUUGGUGGACUACGUAUUGUGAAGCCCAUUUGGAUGUUGGAUUGUGUGCCAGGUGGGAAAUUGUUGAGUUAUGAGUCAUUAUUUGCUCAUCCUAACUAACUAUCACAGUAUAGAGUGCUUUUUUUUGUUGUUGAUAUUUUUCUAAUUAAAAACUGAAAUAAUUUGCUUAUUUAUUUGUUACUCCCUUCUGCUCUCAAAUAGUAUCAAUAGAGUAGCUACAACAAUGAGUAAAUUGGGUACUUUAAGGCUUAAUUUACAAUCUGAGGUUUAUCGAAAUUUAAUUUGUAGUUUAAUUCAUGUGAGUAUUUAUUAAGUUUCACUCUUUUUUUAACUGAGUUUGAUAAAGUUCCGAUCUUAGUACGAUAUUCACCAUUCAAAUUAAGGUAAACACGAAUUACCCACAUAAAAAUCUAAGUUAAUUGCAAGUUCUGUUUAGAUGGUUUAAUUGUGAUUUUAGGCUGUGGGAUCAGUAGUCAGUCAAUACCGGCUUUCGUUGUUAGUUUGAAUGAUGGGUUUUAGGAUAUUGUUUUGUCGUUUUCAGUUGAUUAGUUGUUGAGGAUACUAUUAGUCUUGUUAGUGGAAUUGUUAAUGUUGUUGGCUGUUGUUUCGGGUGUUUUUAGUCCCUCGGAAGAGUUACAAUACGGAGUAUGCGCGCCUGACUUCUGUACCUGCAAAACCACGGAACUCCGGUUAGUUAGUAUGAUUUACGGAUGGGUAAUAGUGCGGAAGGUAAAUAGGUUUUUCUCACUGAUUCUGAGAGAUUCCGCAAUUAAUAUUGCUCGGGUUUCGUGUAUGAAUUUAUGAAUCCCCAAUAAAUGAGGAGGAUUCCUCUAUUUAUAGUGGGGGAGACAUGUUCCC